rnacentral:rRNA from 1 species
CUGAAAUCAGGUGGGAUUACCCGCUGAACUUAA